rnacentral:rRNA from 1 species
UACGGAGGGUGCGAGCGUUAAUCGGAAUUACUGGGCGUAAAGGGUGCGUAGGUGGUUAAUUAAGUUAUCUGUGAAAUCCCUGGGCUCAACCUGGGCAGGUCAGAUGAUACUGAUUGACUCGAGUAUAGGAGAGGGUAGUGGAAUUUCCGGUGUAGCGGUGAAAUGCGUAGAGAUCGGAAGGAACACCAGUGGCGAAGGCGGCUACCUGGCCUAAUACUGACACUGAGGCACGAAAGCGUGGGGAGCAAACAGGG